CGAUGCAUCAUUCAAAUAUCUGCCCUAUCAACUUUCGAUGGUAGGAUAGUGGCCUACAUGGUUUUAACGGGGUAACGAGGGAAUAAGGGUUACGAUUCCGGAGAAGGGAGCCUGAGAAACGGUACCACAUCCAAGGAAGGCAGCAGGCGCGAAAAUUACCCAAUCCCAAUUCGGGGAGGUAGUGACAAUCAAAUAACAAUAUAGGGCUCUUAUGGGUCUUAUAAGUUGGAAUGAGUACAAUUUAAAUCACUUA
rnacentral:rRNA from 1 species